rnacentral:rRNA from 1 species
AACGAACGCUGGCGGCAGGCUUAACACAUGCAAGUCGAGCGCCCCGCAAGGGGAGCGGCAGACGGGUGAGUAACGCGUGGGAAUCUACCCAUCUCUACGGAAUAACGCAUGGAAACGUGUGCUAAUACCGUAUACGUCCUUCGGGAGAAAGAUUUAUCGGAGAUGGGUGUGCCCGCGUUGGAUUAGCUAGUUGGUGGGGUAAAGGCCUCCCAAGGCGACGAUCCAUAGCUGGUCUGAGAGGAUGAUCAGCCACACUGGGACUGAGACACGGCCCAGACUCCUACGGGAGGCAGCAGUGGGGAAUAUUGGACAAUGGGCGCAAGCCUGAUCCAGCCAUGCCGCGUGAGUGAUGAAGGCCCUAGGGUUGUAAAGCUCUUUCACCGGUGAAGAUAAUGACGGUAACCGGAGAAGAAGCCCCGGCUAACUUCGUGCCAGCCGCCGCCGUAAGAC